CGGCCCGACCCGACCACGCCUCCCGCAGCCCGGCCUUAAACGCCUGCCACGCACCCCACAGGCCCUCACACAAGAGGCCGCUUUCCCCGCAGCGCAAUGGCGGCCAGACUGCGUCCGCUCCGCGUUCCCAGCGCCGGGAAGUGCGCAACCCGAGUUCAGCAGUUGAUCCAGUCGGCGCCGAGGUGCUCAGAUGGAUUAGUGAGACGACCAAUUAGAGUUGCACACUGCGCCGAGGAGGCGGGCCCAUAGGCGGAAAGGCUUUGAACGCAAGGGGGUGUGGUCGGGGUGAAGCCCCGCCUCCUCCAUUUCCGAGGCUGUUUCUGGGGCCUCUGACAGACCUCAGCGUGUGAUGGGCUCCCGGCGUCGCACUGUGAGAGAGCGAAGUCUAAAGGGUUUGAAUAAAUUUGCCAAGAUUGCGCAUUGUAC
rnacentral:lncRNA from 1 species